rnacentral:lncRNA from 1 species
AAUCCUUAUCCCUAUCAUAUGUUAGAAUUAAUCGAUUUGAGUCUGAUGUGAAACCUUAUGAAAAUAUCUUUCCAUCAUUCACACUGCCAUGGCCAUGGACUUUAGGACUCAAUCUCAUAAUCUACGUAGGACCACUCCUCUUCUAUCGAGGUUGAUAGAUCCCAUCUUGGUACAAUCCAAUUCCUAUAAUGAACAUACUACAGCCAAUAUAUACUUCAAGACUCCAUAUGGCUAGGAGACCGAAUUAUGGUAUAGUCAAAUUAUAGCACCCUCAAGGUAAACUGUCGAUACACCUCAGGUC